rnacentral:rRNA from 1 species
CGGGGCUUAAUGUCUUGUGAUUGGAAUGAUGGGAAUUUAAACCUCUUCCAGAGUAUCAAUUGGAGGGCAAGUCUGGUGCCAGCAGCCGCGGUAAUUCCAGCUCCAAUAGCGUAUAUUAAAAUUGUUGCAGUUAAAAAGCUCGUAGUUGAAUUUCUGCUGCAUUACAUAUCUCUUGUUUGAGUUUGUUUUUGUGGCUUAUUUCGGUUUGAUUUUUUCUUUCCGGAUGAUUACUUUGAGAAAAUUAGAGUGUUCAAAGCAGGUCUGCGCCUGAAUACAUUAGCAUGGAAUAAUAAAAUAGGACGUGCGGUUCUAUUUUGUUGGUUUCUAGAGUCGCCGUAAUGAUUAAUAGGGAUAGUUGGGGGCAUUAGUAUUCAGUUGCUAGAGGUGAAAUUCUUGGAUUUACUGAAGACUAACUACUGCGAAAGCAUUUGCCAAGGAUGUUUUCUUUAAUCAAGAAC